GAUGAACGCUAGCGACAGGCCUAACACAUGCAAGUCGAGGGGCAUCGGGACGUAGCAAUACGUUGCCGGCGACCGGCGGAUGGGUGAGUAACGCGUAUGCAACCUACCCGUAGCAGGGGGAUAGCCCGUUGAAAGACGGAUUAAUACCCCGUAACACAGGGGCUCCGCAUGGAGAUUAUUGUUAAAGGGUCAUUUCUUUUAGAGGUGGUCCGGCUACGGAUGGGCAUGCGUUCCAUUAGGUAGUUGGUGUAGGUAACGGCUCACCAAGCCGACGAUGGAUAGGGGAACUGAGAGGUUGGUCCCCCACACUGGUACUGAGACACGGACCAGACUCCUACGGGAGGCAGCAGUGAGGAAUCUUGGUCAAUGGACGCAAGUCUGAACCAGCCAUGUCGCGUGAAGGAGGACGGCCCUAAGGGUUGUAAACUUCUUUUGCAGUGGAAUAAAGUUUGCCACGAGUUGGCGAUUUGCAAGUACGCUGCGAAUAAGGAUCGGCUAACUCCGUGCCAGCAGCCCG
rnacentral:rRNA from 1 species